CCUACGGGGGGCUGCAGUGAGGAAUAUUGGUCAAUGGGAGGAAUCCUGAACCAGCCAUGCCGCGUGCAGGACGACGGCUCUACGAGUUGUAAACUGCUUUUGUACCGGGGUAAAAUGCUCUACGAGUAGGGUUUUGAAAGUACGGUACGAAUAAGGAUCGGCUAACUCCGUGCCAGCAGCCGCGGUAAUACGGAGGAUCCGAGCGUUAUCCGGAUUUAUUGGGUUUAAAGGGUGCGUAGGUUGUUUUAUAAGUUAGCGGUGAAAUACCGAUGCUCAACAUCGGGGCUGCCGCUGAUACUGUAGGACUAGAGAUCGGAUGCAGCAGGCGGAAUGUGUAGUGUAGCGGUGAAAUGCAUAGAUAUUACACAGAACACCGAUUGCGAAGGCAGCUUGCUAGGCCGGAUCUGACACUGAUGCACGAAAGCGUGGGGAUCGAACAGGAUUAGAUACCCCUGUAGUC
rnacentral:rRNA from 1 species